rnacentral:rRNA from 1 species
UACGAAGGGGGCUAGCGUUGCUCGGAAUCACUGGGCGUAAAGGGCGCGUAGGCGGCUCUGCACGUUCGUUGUGAAAUCGCCCGGCUCAACUGGGCGGGGUCAGCGGAUACGGCAGAGCUUGAGCAAGCUAGGGGGCAAUGGAAUUCCCGGUGUAGUGGUGGAAUGCGUAGAUAUCAGGAGGAACACCGGUGGUGUAGACGGCUUUCUGGACCGUAACUGACGCUGAGACACGAAAGCGUGGGUAGCAAACAGG